rnacentral:rRNA from 1 species
GCCAGACUCCUACGGGAGGCAGCAGUGGGGAAUAUUGGACAAUGGGGGAAACCCUGAUCCAGCGACGCCGCGUGAGUGAAGAAGUAUUUCGGUACGUAAAGCUCUAUCAGCAGGAAAGAAAAUGACGGUACCUGACUAAGAAGCCCCGGCUAACUACGUGCCAGCAGCCGCGGUAAUACGUAGGGGGCAAGCGUUAUCCGGAUUUACUGGGUGUAAAGGGAGCGUAGGCGGCAGCGCAAGUCUGGAGUGAAAUGCCGGGGCCCAACCCCGGAACUGCUCUGGAAACUGUGAAGCUGGAAUGCAGGAGAGGUAAGCGGAAUUCCUGGUGUAGCGGUGAAAUGCGUAGAUAUCAGGAGGAACACCGGCGGCGAAGGCGGCUUACUGGACUGUAACUGACGUUGAGGCUCGAAGGCGUGGGGAGCAAACAGGAUUAGAUACCCCGGUA